GAUGAAGAACGUAGUGAAAUGCGAUACGUAGUGUGAAUUGCAGAAUUCAGUGAAUCAUCGAAUCUUUGAACGCACAUUGCACCUCUCGGUAUUCCGGGAGGUAUGCCUGUUCGAGCGUCAUUUGUACCCUCAAGCUCUGCUUGGUGUUGGGUGUUUGUUCCGCCUCUGUGUGUGAACUCGCCUCAAAACAAUUGGCAGCCGGCGUACUUGUUUCGGAGCGCAGCACAUUUUGCGAUCCAGAUCAACGUACAGCGGCAUCCAAGAAGCCUUAUUUAACGCUCUUGACCUCGGAUCAGGUAGGGAUACCCGCUGAGCUUAAGCAUAUCAAUAAGCGGAGGA
rnacentral:misc_RNA from 1 species